GAUCCCGAGAAUAUGAUGUCAAAAGAUCGGCAAGUGUGAAGUGAUAUCGUCAAAGGUGCGGUGCUCUUCAUGAAAAGUGAUCGAGUUUAAAGUGAAUUGGUCGCACAGGAGUUUGAGUGUGGUUGUGUGAGAGGGUAAGAGCAAUGGCAACAGACAUUCUGAUUUCGAGGAGCUUUAAGUGAUCGAGUGGAAUCCUUGGUGGAGGAGAUGAAGUGGACGGAGGGGGGAGAGGGUGGCAUUAUUUCCGGACGAGCUUAUCGGCGCAACGAAUGGCGAGAUGAACAGAUGGUUCUACUUACGCUUGUCCGGCGCGCUCCUUAUCAACCUGGGAAGACGGAUCCUCCACGAGGCGGCCGACUGGUUCGCCAGCGUCCGCAAAACGAUUUUUUACGCCAUGCACUCGCCCUUCACCCGCUCUAGAGCUCGCCCCCCGAGUUCCCCCGCUCCGUUGCCCAAUAGGACACCAGAGAUUCAACGAAUGUAUUUCUACCACUCUGUUGAUAGAUUACGCGCUUUGCAGCUUGUCUCUAAAGGUGAGGAUGGAUGUUAUUUGGUUCGGCCAUCAUCCAGCCCAUCAUCAUUGACGCUGACACUAUGGAACUCUGGUCAGGCAUACAACAUACCAAUUCGAUCGCGGCCGGAUAGACUAUAUGCUCUAGGAACUCGGAAACCAAGAGAACUGUGCUUCCCCUCAAUUUUGGACCUGAUCAAAUAUUACGAAAAAAAUCCUAUCAUUGUAGCGGAUGGAGGAUCCUGUCGAGCACUAAGGGAGGUGAAACUUACAAAAUCGCCGCCAAAACAGGACUUCUGA
rnacentral:lncRNA from 1 species